rnacentral:rRNA from 1 species
GACGAACGCUGGCGGCGUGCUUAACACAUGCAAGUCGAGCGGUAAGGCCCUUUCGGGGGUACACGAGCGGCGAACGGGUGAGUAACACGUGGGUGACCUGCCCUCAGCUCUGGGAUAAGCCUGGGAAACCGGGUCUAAUACUGGAUAUGACUCCAUGACGCAUGUUGUGGGGUGGAAAGCCUUGUGCGGCUGAGGAUGGGCCCGCGGCCUAUCAGCUUGUUGGUGGGGUGANGGCCUACCAAGGCGACGACGGGUAGCCGGCCUGAGAGGGCGACCGGCCACACUGGGACUGAGACACGGCCCAGACUCCUACGGGAGGCAGCAGUGGGGAAUCUUGCGCAAUGGGCGAAAGCCUGACGCAGCGACGCCGCGUGAGGGAUGACGGCCUGGUUGUAACGUACUUCUAGCUCCGACGACGGACGAGAGUGACGGUAGGAGGACGAGAAGAAGACGACCGGACCGAACCGUAACCGUACG